UGGAGGCAGCAGUGGGGAAUUUUGCGCAAUGGGCGAAAGCCUGACGCAGCAACGCCGCGUGGAGGAUGAAGGCCUUCGGGUCGUAAACUCCUGUCAGGGGGGACGAAAGCCGCGCAAGCGGUUUGACUGUACCCUCUGAGGAAGCCACGGCUAACUCCGUGCCAGCAGCCGCGGUAAUACGGAGGUGGCAAGCGUUGUUCGGAAUUACUGGGCGUAAAGGGCGCGUACGCGGCUUGGCAAGUCAGAUGUGAAAGCCCCGGGCUUAACUUGGGAAUUGCAUCUGAAACUGCUUUGCUUGAGUCCUGGAGGGGGUAGUGGAAUUCCCAGCGUAGCGGUGAAAUGCGUAGAUAUUGGGAGGAACACCUGCGGCGAAGGCGGCUACCUGGACAGUGACUGACGCUGAGGCGCGAAAGCUAGGGGAGCAAACGGGAUUAGAAACCCUGGUAGUCCA
rnacentral:rRNA from 1 species